GAGAGAUCCCUCGCAGAUCAAAUGUGCCCGUUCGUUCACUUCAUCAAUUGCACCGUACAAGCUAUCCUCUUCAUUUUCCUUUUAUUUCAAUCUCUAUAGCUCUCGUUAAUCUCUUCUUUUCUCUCGGUCCUUUGGAGCCUUGUGUUUCAUAUAGUAGUCAAGAUGGCUGGGAUUCCUAUAUGCGUCCAGUGUGGGACGACUGCCAACCCUUUCCGGUGCAAAGUGGUCGGCCCAACUCUUGGGUUCUUGGCGUUUGCUGUGGUGGCGAUCGUGGAAUGGCCGGUGGGGGCUUUUGUUUACCUGUUUAAACACAGGAAGGGACGCAGGAUCAUGGCCCAUCCGGCCGCCGUUGUUUAUCCGUCAGUCACCAGUACAAUACUUAUCUAAUGCUUUCUUAUGAUAUAUGUGCACAACUAUCCUUUUAUUUUUUUUUAAUUAGCAGACACGAGUAUCUUGUUUGGGUGUGUAAUGUGCUGUGUUUUUUAUUUCGCCGAUAUCCCGUGGGGCAAACUGCAAUGUUGGUCUUUGUAAUAUGAAAUUUCAUAAUAUAUAAUAAGGAUAAUGUAUAUAAUACUAAUUUUAUCAGGUUCAUAUUUCAAUGGGUAACUCAAAUUCGUUUUUAUAAUAUUGGAG
rnacentral:misc_RNA from 1 species